rnacentral:lncRNA from 1 species
GUAGCUGUGUCGCCGGCGGCUGCGGGGCCUCUGGGUUGCUUUCCCUCUCGCUCCCGAGUGCCGCGAGUUCCAGGCGGUCCCCGGGAUCGCCAGCGGCACAGGGCCCCAGCCCUUCGCCCGCGCAUCGGGAUGGGGGUCCUAGCCGGUGGGAGCUGCCUGUCCCUCGAGCGCCAGCUACCCGCGUUGUCCAGCGCUCCGGCCUCGGCCCGGCCCUCCUGCCUCCUGGCUGUUAGGUUCUGAAUGUUCCGGAAAUGCCACGUGACCGCGAGGGCGCUUGGGCUUGGGCUGGACAGGCCGGGGAUCUCACCGCGGCGGGCCCGGCUGUCCCGCUUGGGCGUCCUCAGUGGAACCGCACACCCUUUCUCAGCGCGCCGGUCGUUUGGUCCUGUAGGGCCGAGGGGAAUUCGUGCGGUGUUGAGCACGCGGGAAGCACUUAACGAAAGGGAGCUGCCCCUCAGCCCUCGUGAGUCCGAUGUAAAGGAGUGAAGGAGACGAAGAACUGAAUCAGUAGUUGACCGCCUGUGAGCUGGCGAGCUGUGCCCUGGUAGGGCCUUAAAUCCCAGCCCCAGAAGUCGGAGGCAGGGCAGGCACCCCAAAGCGUGGAAGAGAUGCACCUGCGGAGUGAAAAUGCUGCUAUUGCUUCUAGGGUCAGCCUUGGUUCCUGGAACAAAGGAGCCGCAUGACUCGGGUCUGGCGAUGAUGUUGGGCUCUGCAGUGUCCUCAUCCUUCCCCCUCUCUGGGUAAUGAUAUCUUCCCAGGGUUUAAAGUGUGUCCUCUCUGCCAGUAGCUUGUCUCCACAGCCUCAUCUUUAAUUCCACCUGCCCCACCCAUUUUGGACACUGCAGCCAAGUUGCAGCAGAUCCGCAAACCUGUUCUGGAGGCUGCAAGCCCAGGUUCAAGGCAUCAGCAGGUGUGGUUUCCUCCGAGGCCUCUCCCCGUGGCUUGCAGAUGGCUGCCUUCUUCCUGCAUCCUCACGUGGUCCCUCCUCUGCACUCCAGCAUCCUUAAUGUCUCUUUGUGUGUCCAACUUUCCGCCCCCCCCCACCCCUUUUUUUUCUGAUGGAGUCCACCCAGACUGGAGUACAGUGGCGUGAUCUCAGCUCACUGCAACCUCCACUUCCUGGGCUCAAGUGAUUCCCCCGCUUCAGCCUCCCGAGUAGCUGGGAUUACAGGCAUGUGCCACCAUGCCUGGCUAAUUUUUGUAUUUUUAAUAGAGAUGGGAUUUCACCAUAUUGGCCAGGCUGGUCUCAAACUCCUGACCUCAAGUGAUCCACCCAUCUCGGCCUCCCAAAGUGUUGAGAUUACAGGUGUGAGCCACUGCGCCCAGCCCCG